rnacentral:rRNA from 1 species
CACGUAGUUAGCCGGGGCUUCUUCUGCAGGUACAGUCUUGACUCUUCCCUGCUGAAAGCGGUUUACGACCCGAAGGCCUCCGUCCCGCACGCGGCGUCGCUGCGUCAGGGUUCCCCCCAUUGCGCAAGAUUCCCCACUGCUGCCUCCCGUAGGAGUCUGGGCCGUGUCUCAGUCCCAAUCUGGCCGGUCGGUCUCUCAACCCGGCUACCCGUUGUCGGCACGGUGGGCCGUCACCCCGCCGUCUACCUGAUGGGCCGCGGAGCCAUCCCCUCCGUCGGGGCUUUAGCCGGGGCGCCAUGCGGCACCCGGGGUAUCCGGGUAUUACCCGUCCUUUCGGGCGCUAGUCCCGGGGGAGGGGCCAGGUUCUCCACGUGUUACUCAGCCGUUCGCCACUCGCUUCCCUCCGGGAGACGGGGUGCCCGUUCGACUUGCAUGUGUUAGGCGCGCCGCCAGCGUUCACUCCUGAGCCAGGAUCAAACUCU